GAACGCAUCUUGCGCUCCUUGGUAUUCCUAGGAGCAUGCCUGUUCGAGCGUCACUAACAACCCCAUCACAAAGAGUGUGGUAUUGGCAGAAGUGGGUAGGGCUGGCAGUGCUGGCCCCACUCUGCUGGAAUGAAUAGGCCGGAAAUGUAGACCAUGGUGACAGACUUUCAGAGUAUCUCGUAAUGCUAAAUUAGUUUGUAGGCCGGUCAGAAUCCAGGCUGUUGGACCCCCAUUCUGUGUAAAGCAGUAAUGUUGACCUCGGAUCAGGUAGGGAUACCCGCUGAACUUAAG
rnacentral:misc_RNA from 1 species